GACGAACGCUGGCGGCGUGCUUAACACAUGCAAGUCGAACGGAAAGGCCCUGCUUUUGUGGGGUGCUCGAGUGGCGAACGGGUGAGUAACACGUGAGUAACCUGCCCUUGACUUUGGGAUAACUUCAGGAAACUGGGGCUAAUACCGGAUAGGAGCUCCUGCUGCAUGGUGGGGGUUGGAAAGUUUCGGCGGAUGGGGAUGGACUCGCGGCUUAUCAGCUUGUUGGUGGGGUAGUGGCUUACCAAGGCUUUGACGGGUAGCCGGCCUGAGAGGGUGACCGGGCACAUUGGGCCUGAGAUACGGCCCAGACUCCUACGGGAGGCAGCAGUGGGGAAUAUUGCACAAUGGGCGGCAGCCUGAUGCAGCAACGCCGCGUGCGGGAUGACGGCCUUCGGGUUGUAAACCGCUUUCGCCUGUGACGAAGCGUGAGUGACGGUAAUGGGUAAAGAAGCACCGGCUAACUACGUG
rnacentral:rRNA from 1 species